rnacentral:rRNA from 1 species
AGCAGCCGCCGCGGUAAUACAGAGGGUGCGAGCGUUAAUCGGAUUUACUGGGCGUAAAGCGUGCGUAGGCGGCUUUUUAAGUCGGAUGUGAAAUCCCUGAGCUUAACUUAGGAAUUGCAUUCGAUACUGGGAAUCUAGAGUAUGGGAGAGGAUGGUAGAAUUCCAGGUGUAGCGGUGAAAUGCGUAGAGAUCUGGAGGAAUACCGAUGGCGAAGGCAGCCAUCUGGCCUAAUACUGACGCUGAGGUACGAAAGCAUGGGGAGCAAACAGGAUUAGAUACCCGCGUAGUCCCUGUCUCUUAUAC